rnacentral:rRNA from 1 species
CAGCCGCCGCGGUAAUACGUAGGUGGCGAGCGUUGUCCGGAAUUAUUGGGCGUAAAGGGAGCGCAGGCGGACAUAUAAGUCCAUCUUAAAAGUGUGGGGCUCAACCCCGUGAGGGGAUGGAAACUGUAUGCCUUGAGUGCAGGAGAGGAAAGCGGAAUUCCCAGUGUAGCGGUGAAAUGCGUAGAUAUUGGGAGGAACACCAGUGGCGAAGGCGGCUUUCUGGACUGUAACUGACGCUGAGACUCGAAAGCCAGGGGAGCGAACGGGAUUAGAUACCCCAGUAGUCCCUGUCUCUUAUACA